UGAAGGACAGGUGCAUACCAUUGUGGAUAAGCAGACGGAUGGGUAAACAAUUGUGCAUUAUUCAAAGGACAUUGAGGAAGUGGAAUGAAACUCCUUGGAUUUUGAAAAGAGGCACCUUGUUGCAGAUGAGUAAUUGGAUUUGAUAUGUAAGCUCGGGAUUGAGGCUGACAGUAUUGGUGAGUUGGACCUCUCAAACUCUGUUUUGGCCCUGGCACGACAAUAGGUGUGUUUUCCUUCUUCUUUCCUUCAGUUUCCCUGGAUUGAUUGCAAUAUCAUCCCAAAUGUUUCACAGAAUUCUUCUGCCCAUCAUGUUCCUCAAAUUUCGAUAUCUCAAAGCUUUUAAGAAGGCUGAUACUUGAAGACAUGUCCCAGUCUUUAUAUGAAACAUCUUCUUUACCCACAAGUCCCAGGAAACUUUCCAUAUCAUUUUCUACACUCUUCACUUUCCCCACCAUUUUCUCUGAUUUUUCUAGUAUGCUAGGCUUCUUGGUAAGAAAUUUUAGCGUUCCUCUUAACUUAACUGUAGGCUCA
rnacentral:lncRNA from 1 species